rnacentral:lncRNA from 1 species
GAUGGCAAUUUAUUGUAUUCCUUCUAGCUGAAAGCUUUCUUUCCUGAUUAUGGAUUUUCUAGGCCUUUAACAAACUUAUUUAAAAAUAAUUCUCCUCAUGUUUGUUCCCACCAGUAUAAUUCAACUUCCCUUCGCUUUAAGAAGUAAUGCUUUGGUUUCAGUCUGUACAGUUAUAUAUUUACUAAGUAGGGCUGCUGUCUGCCUGCAUGGGGAGUACGAUGUCAAGCAGAGGCUCCUAGGAGGCCAUCAGUAAUCAGAAUGGUUGAGGCGGGCAGCACAGCUCCACAAACAGCCUGACCCAUGGAUGCCAGCCAGAGGAACUGCCCCCAGCUCUCCUGCAGCCCUCCGGCUGUCCUCGGGGGCCACCCCAGCUGCAGCUGCUCCGUUUGCUGGUGCCGCCUCUUCAUGGUGCGUCUCCUAGCUGGAGCACUGCCCACGGAGCCGAGACCACCUCCCUUUGGCUGCGGGGGCUGCGGGCACUGCCUGGUGCUGACCACCCGGGGCUGCGAGGAGCUGGUUCAAGUCUGGUCCCGCAAGGACGUCCAGGGAGGCCGAGACUCCUUUCAUUGGAAAAAUACAAAUGGAAAUGAGAUAAACCCUUAAACAGAGCUAAGCAAGAGAUGAAGCAUAUAGUCACAGAGUUGACAGCAGCUUUGACUUGCAGGGAUCUUCACUCCAGUCAUUUCCAAUAGUUGAAAUUGAGUGUAAUUUAGUUUUUAGGCAUGUAAAAAUUAACUGUCUCAGAAAAUAAACAUGCCAUGUACUUAAUAAAGCA